UGAGCCCACCUUGUAACGGUCCAGGUAAACACCAUUUUCAGAAGAGUGUGUGGGUGGACCGCGGUGGGGAGUUAGUUGAAGAGGCAGGGCAGAGGCCUUGAGAAACACCAAGAGAUGAAGAAGAGGGAUGGCUGGGGAAUAGAAGAGGCACUGCAAGGCUGAAUUCUCUAAGGAACGAAAUCUGUAGCAAAUGGAUUUUAAUUUUAUACUUAGGAGUACAGAGACAAGGGGCCUACAUCACCUCACUCAAGGAUGGAAACUAGUUGCCAUCAGAACUGGAGGAUUGGAGCUCUCAGUUCCAGUCUCCUGACCUAGCAGGAAAGAGGGGCUCUGGAUUGAAUCCAUCACCAACGGCCAAUGUUUUGAUCAGUCAUGCCUAUGUAAUGAAGUCUCAUAAAAACCCAAAAGGACAGAAGGUGGAGAGUAUCUGGGUUGUUGAACAAAUGGAUAUGAGCAUGGAAACGUGUAACCCUUUCCUGUACCCUGUCCUAAGCGUUUCUUCCCCCUGGCUGUUACUGAGUUACAUCUUUUUAUAAUGAACUGGUGAUUUAGUAAGUAAAAUGUUCCUGUGA